UACGGGGGGGGCAAGCGUUGUUCGGAAUUACUGGGCGUAAAGGGCUCGUAGGCGGCCAACUAAGUCGGAUGUGAAAUCCCCAGGCUCAACCUGGGAACUGCAUCCGAUACUGGAUGGCUUGAAUUCGGGAGAGGGAUGCAGAAUUCCAGGUGUAGCGGUGAAAUGCGUAGAUAUCUGGAGGAACACCGGUGGCGAAGGCGGCAUCCUGGACCGGCAUUGACGCUGAGGCGCGAAAGCCAGGGGAGCAAACGGG
rnacentral:rRNA from 1 species